GCUAAAACACCAGUUCCCGUACAAUCACCAAAGUUAAACAACGUCAAGCCUGGUCAGUACCUAGAUGGGUGACCAUAAGGGAAUGCCAAAUAUUGUA